AUUUGGGGAGAGUUUGUAAGUAAGUAACUCCCCAGGUUUAUUAAGUUUAUAUUUUGGGGGCAAGUAAUAACAUGUACUUGACAUCAGCCAGAAUUUUUUUGCCCUAAAAUAGAAGACAAAUGGUCACUUUUUUUUUUUUCUGUAGCUAGUGUAAAGAUAGUUGUAUAGAACUUUUGCUUGCAUUGAUUGGCUUCCAAGAUGCAGUCAAGUUUACUAUUUUCUGUUUAGUAUAUUACUAGUUUGAAAGUUCUUUUUGGAAACCUACUUGACUUCAGUGCUUGGCAGUUCAUGGAAAACUAACUUAAUGUUAACUUAUUAAUCCGGGUUCUGUCUGCUAAAAC
rnacentral:lncRNA from 1 species